CUGGGCACUCUAGAGUGACUGCCGGUGACAAACCGGAGGAAGGUGGGGAUGACGUCAAAUCAUCAUGCCCCUUAUGACCUGGGCUACACACGUACUACAAUGGCCGGUACAACGGGAAGCGAAACCGCGAGGUGGAGCCAAUCCCAGCAAAGCCGGUCUCAGUUCGGAUUGCAGGCUGCAACUCGCCUGCAUGAAGUCGGAAUUGCUAGUAAUCGCGGAUCAGCAUGCCGCGGUGAAUACGUUUCCGGGUAUUGUACACACGUCGUAUCACGGUAACGCAGAG
rnacentral:rRNA from 1 species